rnacentral:rRNA from 1 species
UACGAAGGGGGCAAGCGUUGUUCGGAAUUACUGGGCGUAAAGGGCGCGUAGGCGGCUUACCAAGUCAGGCGUGAAAGCCCCGGGCUCAACCUGGGAAUUGCAUUCGAGACUGAAUAGCUAGGGUGCGGUAGAGGGAAGCGGAAUUUCCGGUGUAGCGGUGAAAUGCGUAGAUAUCGGAAGGAACAUCAGUGGCGAAAGCGGCUUCCUGGACCAGCACCGACGUUCAGGCACGAAAGCGUGGGGAGCAAACAGG